rnacentral:lncRNA from 1 species
GUCGUGCUCACCGAAGCGAUUAGGUCGCUUUCCAUGCUAAAGUGUAGUAUGUUUACUAUUGAUGCAUGAUAAAGUAUGCUAUUUAAGAAUGAAUGAUAAAGAUUAAAGUAUGCUAUUUAAGAAUGAAUGAUAAAGAUUAAAGUAUGCUAUUUAAGAAUGAAUGAUAAAGAUUAAAGUAUGCUAUUUAAGAAUGCAUGAUAAAGAUUAAAGUAUGCUAUUUAAGAAUGCAUGAUAAAGAUAGAUGUCAAAUGAAUGCAUGAGUUAAUGUUAAUUUACAUGAGCAUAUUAUAGAAAUGUUAAACAGAUGUCAAAUGAAAGUAUGAGAUUUAUUCUAACCGAGAAUGCAUGUGGUAAAUGUUAAUGAAUGAAUAAAAUGCUAAAUGAUGACUACCAAUGGAUGACAAAAUAUCCACAUAAUGAACAUAGAUCGAGUAGCAUUUGAAAAUGGUAAAAUGGACACUAGAGUUAGUGUGGGCAUCAAAGAAUAAAUGUUGUGUAAAGAACAAUGAUAAUGGCUAGAGGUAAUGUAAAGUAAUGUGGCAUAAAGAAUAAGCAAAGUGUAAAGAAUAAUGAUAAUGGCUAGAGACAAUGUAAAGUAAUGUGGCAUAAAGAACAAGCAAAGUGUAAAGAACAAUGAUAAUGGCUAAAGUUAGCAACCAAUGUGACAUAAAGAACACUAGAGUUAGUGUGUGGCAAUAAAAGAACAAGUGUGGUAUCAAGAAUGAUAAUUACUAAAGUAAUUGAUAAUUGUGGUAUAAAGAAUAAUGAUUGCUAGAGUUAGCAACUAAUGUGAUGUAAAGAACACUAGAGUUAGUGUAAAACCAUGAUCCAACUAAAUAUCCUUAGAGUUAAGGAUUGAUCAUACUUGCUAUGAGUUCCGUGCUCGAGGGCGGUCGCUCCCCCUCGAGCGAUGCGCUCCGGAGUUUUGCAUCACGGGUUGGAGUAAACCCAAGGACGGUCCUAGCGGGUGAGUUCCUGCGAUGAUGGACUUAAUGUGAAACAAGUUAAUGUGGCGAAACCUACGGGUUAGCCAGAAAGAAUUGUGAAUUUGAAAGUGGAUCUUGUAUACAUUAUGAAUUGACUCAAGACCGAGUCGAGUGGCAUAGUUGGCUAAGGUAAAUGUAACGUUAGGAAAGAGUGAUAAGUGAGAAAGACUUGUUAAUGUUAUAAAGAAUGGCAAAUGUGUAUGAUGAGCCUAAGGCGCGAGUGCCCUUAGUAAAGGAUAAAGAACAAAGAAUAAAGCAUAAGGAAUAAAGCAUAAAGAAUAAAGAAUAAAGAAUAAAGAUUAAAGAAUAAAGAAUGGCUAAUGAUAAAGAAUUACUUAUUCUAAAGAAAGGCUAAUGGUAAAGAAUGACUAAGAGUUGCAUAAUUUGCAUAUUUGUGAGGCAUGAACAUGUAUUGCAUGAUGUUAUAUGUAUAUAUAUCUGUUGGACUAACAUGUUGCAGUGCCUCCUUUGGACCUGGUGGGUUGAGCUCUUCCCUUGGGUGGCUGUACCCACUGAGGACUAUGGACAAUAGUUUCACCCCCGUGUUGUUGUUUUUGGGGGUACAGGUUCACACGCGAGCGGCGCGGCGGCGCGAGGAAAGGGCGUAGCUCCGUAGUUAGCGCCCUACCACAGAGACCAGAUAGCAGCACCCUGAGUCGGCUUCUUAGGGGUAUAAGAAAAGAAAAGAAAAGAAUCGAUGUGGUAAUAUUAUGUUUAGAAAUCGAUUGUAUAUUUGGAAGUUGAGGAUCAUUGUAAUGAAAAAUGCGAUGUAAAAUGAUGAGAUGAAUGAUUGUAAUAAUAUAGGAUGUGUUAUGUUGUUUGAUACCUUCCUUAUGCAAUCGUGGUUGAAAAUUGUUCCUGUUUGGAACCUCUUGUACUUGUAUUGAUUGCGACGCCUUGAACGUACAGGGGAGGCUCUGUCCGCGUGCAGGGAAAGUCCUGUCCGUUCGGCGGUCUGUUGGCGUGCCCGAAUCCGACCAAAUAGGCGGGCUCGGGGCGUGACA